AUCAUCAGUAGUGGUUAUACUAUCUCAUAUAAAGAUAUAUAACAAAUACACUAUAGAAGGGGGUUCUUUCGGGGGCCACUCUUCUUAGAAACCUAGUAUGGGUCUGGUUAUUCGUUAUUUGAUAUAACUGGAUGUUAUACGUAUCAGCUAAAAUUUUGCUGACUUUUUUAACAGAUUAGUCACAGUAAAAUUUUCGUUUCGGUUUCUUAGAGUAAUAGCGUUAUGAAAUAGGUUGAAUGCAUUUUGACAAUUGAGUAAUCUUUACUUAAGGUAAUAGAUGAUGGUAAAUUGUCCUAUUUCCAUGAUGCGACAAAU
rnacentral:snoRNA from 1 species